rnacentral:lncRNA from 7 species
AACUUACUUGAAUAACUUUCUUCUACUUGUGUUUUCUUCCCACCAGGAUCUUUAAUAACUCCUCUGAGGGGGCUGCCUCUGUGCUAUAAAUACAGCCGCAUUAUCACUUGGCUGUAUUGUGUGCAAGUGCUAAUUUUCUGUGCCGGGUUUGAACUUGUUGACUUUUGUGGUCGGUGUCAGGAAAUGCUGGGUGGGAAAGGAUUAAAGAGGCUAUUGAUGUGACUCGGAAUCUCGGGCCAGGAAGACUGGUUGUAUCAUCUUAGAUCUCGAGACAGCCGUGUUGAUAUCCAGCUUUGGCUUUUUUUUUUUUUUUUUGUAGAGUCACUUCAGUCAGAUCCCUGUUUGUCCCUCCCACCUCCCCCAUCACAAGCACACUGACUCCGGCACUCUAGGCCGUAGUCUCCAUGGAGGAAGUAGACCCUGUAGGCGAAUUUCCUGGUAUUAUGCCACUUUAACAACCUCUCUCUUGAUUUAGGUGUUGCAGGCUGGCUAAGAAUAUUCCUUGACACUUGAAAGGGACCUUUAUUGUUUUCUUAAUUUGUGAAGAAUUGCUUUUUUUUUUUUUUUCUUUUCCCAAACUUUUCUUUGUAGGGUCAGACUGGAGCCAUGUUAUUGUUGUUAAAUUUAGAUCUAAGACUAUAUUAAGUCCUCUGGCAGUCAGCCCUAGCGCUUUCACUUCUUAAAACAGGAAGGCAGGCCUUGGCCUACUUGUGUUCAUGUACUUAAAAUGGGUGAGAAGAUAACGUUUUACACUGCUGGGAAAUAAAUAUAAAACUGCACAGUGUAUAUACAACAACCGUUCUGCAGUAGCCAAGGAAGAAUUUCAAAGGAAGAGCACAGCAUAAUUCUGUUUGACCAACGCAUUAGCAUUCUUUUCCUGGUGAAUGUGGAGCAGCUGUGGGGAGGCACCAGAGGACCGUCAGCAUCUGAAAGAUCUUUUCUUCAUUCUCAAGCCAAUGUAGAUACAUUUCACAGGACCAAUACCUACAAGCACACUUGGGAAAUGGGGGACCUAAUGAGGACACAACUGGCAGCAGCCAGUGAAGUUCAGUGCCAGCAAGACUGCAGCCAGCGCAUACCAACCCCACCGGGACAGUGCAACAGGAAGCGUAGAAAUAUCUCAUGCAGAGAUACUUCAGUUGAAGCAUGAACUCUGUGCUAUGCCGGCAAGUCUGAGAACAGUCAGAAUGCUUUGACCUGGACACUGGAGGAAAAAAACUGAUAUUUUUGUUUCAGGGUCAUGGUGUCAGCACUGGGAGUUUUCGAAGAUCCCUGCCACAUUGUAAGAAAUUUUACAAGAGCAACAAAAAUCCCUUGACUAAACUGUGCUGAAAUAACCCCAAGAGCAUCAAACUCCUCACACUGGAGAAUAAAAUGCCUUUGCACAUUCUUUGCUUUGAAAUG